rnacentral:rRNA from 1 species
GACGAACGCUGGCGGCGUGCUUAACACAUGCAAGUCGAGCGGUAAGGCCCUUUCGGGGGUACGACGAGCGGCGAACGGGUGAGUAACACGUGGGUGACCUGCCCUCAGCUCUGGGAUAAGCCUGGGAAACUAGGGUCUAAUACUGGAUAUGACUCCACGGUGCAUGUCGUGGGGUGGAAAGCCUUGUGCGGCUGAGGAUGGGCCCGCGGCCUAUCAGCUUGUUGGUGGGGUGANGGCCUACCAAGGCGACGACGGGUAGCCGGCCUGAGAGGGCGACCGGCCACACUGGGACUGAGACACGGCCCAGACUCCUACGGGAGGCAGCAGUGGGGAAUCUUGCGCAAUGGGCGAAAGCCUGACGCAGCGACGCCGCGUGAGGGA